rfam:Opisthocomus hoazin contig68547, whole genome shotgun sequence.
UCCUUGGUGAUCUAGCGGUUAGGAUCUGGUGCUCUCACCGCUGUGGCCUGGGUUCGAUUCCCAGUCAGGGAA